rnacentral:rRNA from 1 species
UAAGAGAAUGGAACUACAAGGAGGAGCUAUUUUAAACUUAAAAAUUAAAGUUAUUUUAAUUUGUGAAGAAACAAUUAUUAAAAUUAAGGACAAGAAGACCCUAAGAAUUUUAAAAUCAAUAAUUUUUUAUUAUAAAAGCUUAUUGAUUUUUAGUUGGGGCAACUAAAAAAUAUUAUAAACUUUUUUAUAAAUAAAAUGAUCCAUUAUUAAUGAUAAUUUGGAAAAAAUACUCUAGGGAUAACAGCGUAAUAAUUUUUGAUAGAACAUAUAGACAAAAUAGUUUGCGACCUCGAUGUUGGAUU